GCCAUUCUUACUGCCCCAGUCUCACACUGCUCCCUUUGGGUUACCUCUUCUAAGUCCAUCCUACUAGCCUCCUUGUCCUAUCCAUUAAAGAUCCAGCUCUAUAAACUGCACUCGGACUCUUUUUGGAGUUACUCAACGCAGUCCUGCUGGGAACCCCCAAAUACAGGCUGGCUGUGUCCUUUACUUGUUUUCACCAUUUACCUAACAAUGAGGAUCAAACUCAGGACCUUUUGCUUCUCACGCAGGCACUUGUGCCACUGAGCUAUUCCCCCGGACCUCAACAUUGUUCUAUAAAAGGUAAAACAGACUGCCUUGGUUACUCUUCUCUCAUUGCUAACAUAAAAUACCUGACACCCAAAAUUAAG
rnacentral:lncRNA from 1 species